AGGGGUAUAGCUCAGUGGUAGAGCACAUGCUUAGCAUGCACAAGGUCCUGGGUUCAAUCUCCAGUACCUCCA
rnacentral:tRNA from 1 species